GCGAGCUUGGCGGAAUGGUAGACGCACGAGACUUAAAAUCUCGAGUUCGAAUGAACGUGCGGGUUCGAGUCCCGCAGCUCGCA
rnacentral:tRNA from 1 species